rnacentral:rRNA from 1 species
UGAACGCUGGCGGCGUGCCUAAUACAUGCAAGUCGAGCGAACAGACGAGGAGCUUGCUCCUCUGACGUUAGCGGCGGACGGGUGAGUAACACGUGGAUAACCUACCUAUAAGACUGGGAUAACUUCGGGAAACCGGAGCUAAUACCGGAUAAUAUAUUGAACCGCAUGGUUCAAUAGUGAAGGACGGUUUUGCUGUCACUUAUAGAUGGAUCCGCGCCGCAUUAGCUAGUUGGUAAGGUAACGGCUUACCAAGGCAACGAUGCGUAGCCGACCUGAGAGGGUGAUCGGCCACACUGGAACUGAGACACGGUCCAGACUCCUACGGGAGGCAGCAGUAGGGAAUCUUCCGCAAUGGGCGAAAGCCUGACGGAGCAACGCCGCGUGAGUGAUGAAGGUCUUCGGAUCGUAAAACUCUGUUAUUAGGGAAGAACAAAUGUGUAAGUAACUAUGCACGUCUUGACGGUACCUAAUCAGAAAGCCACGGCUAACUACGUG